rnacentral:rRNA from 1 species
UGGGGAAUAUUGCGCAAUGGGCGAAAGCCUGACGCAGCGACGCCGCGUGGGGGAUGACGGCCUUCGGGUUGUAAACCUCUUUCGACCUUGACGAAGGCCUUCGGGUUGACGGUAGGGGUAGAAGAAGCACCGGCCAACUACGUGCCAGCAGCCGCGGUAAUACGUAGGGUGCGAGCGUUGUCCGGAAUUAUUGGGCGUAAAGAGCUCGUAGGCGGUGUGUCACGUCGGUCGUGAAAACUUGGGGCUUAACUCUGAGCUUGCGGUCGAUACGGGCAUCACUGGAGUUCGGCAGGGGAGACUGGAAUUCCUGGUGUAGCGGUGAAAUGCGCAGAUAUCAGGAGGAACACCGGUGGCGAAGGCGGGUCUCUGGGCCGAUACUGACGCUGAGGAGCGAAAGCGUGGGGAGCGAACAGGAUUAGAUACCCCCGUAGUCC